rnacentral:rRNA from 1 species
AGCGGCCGCGAAUUGCCCUUGGGGGUGCCCGCCGCUUCCUUUAUUUUUCAUUCUUGAAACUGUGCUCCGGUCGUCCCGAGUGCCGACCGCUGAGGUUGGCUUUUACCCCGUCUAUAACGCUGGGGGAAUAAGGAUAGGGCAAGUCUGGUGUCAGCACGUCCCCGGUAAUACCAGCUCUCCUAGUGCGCGUGGACGUUUAUUGUGCCUAACGCAGUCCGUAUCUGGCUGAACAACUCCCCUGUUAAACCCCCCCAUUUAAUCGUUGGACUGCGGGGGAUACUGCUCAGCUAGGGGACCAUAUAGGCAUACGGUAUUCCCGGGGUACGGGUGAAAUCCUAUAAUCCCCAGAAGACCUCCACUGACGAACGCUGUCUGCUAGAACGCGCCCGAUAGUGACGGAUGAAAGCUGGGAGGACCCAACCGAGAUUAUAUACCCGGGUAGUCCCGACUGUAAGCUAGGCCUACUAUGUGUUUGGACGGUCUCUUGCCGUUCUAAUGACCCCCGCAACCUGUAAAAUUUGCCAUUCUGGUGAGUACGAUCUCAAGAUUGAAACUUAGUAUGACUUGUCGGGGGACCCG